GACAGAGGGUGCAAGCGUUGUUCGGAAUUAUUGGGCGUAAAGGGCGCGUAGGCGGCUGAGCAAGUCGAACGUGAAAUCCCUGGGCUUAACCCAGGAAGUGCAUUUGAUACUGCUCAACUUGAGUCCCGGAGAGGGUGGUGGAAUUCCCAGUGUAGAGGUGAAAUUCGUAGAUAUUGGGAAGAACACCGGUGGCGAAGGCGGCCAUCUGGACCACAACUGACGCUGAGGCGCGAAAGCGUGGGGAGCAAACAGG
rnacentral:rRNA from 1 species